UACGAGGGGGGCGAGCGUUGUUCGGAAUUAUUGGGCGUAAAGGGUGCGUAGGCGGUUUGGUAAGUCUUGUGUGAAAUCUCCAGGCUCAACUUGGAGUCUGCACGAGAAACUGCCGGGCUUGAGUGUGGGAGAGGUGAGUGGAAUUCCCGGUGUAGCGGUGAAAUGCGUAGAGAUCGGGAGGAACAUCAGUGGCGAAGGCGGCCAUCUGGGACAACACUGACGCUGAAGCACGAAAGCGUGGGGAGCAAACAGG
rnacentral:rRNA from 1 species